ACCGCCCCCGCGGGGUACGCCCAAGUCUCCACGCCAUUCCCCAUUCUCCUGGUCGCCAGCUCCCCCUUUCCACCUCGUAGGUAGCUCCUCCCCUUCGUCCCCACAGCCGGCGCGAGGUCCGCACGCCCCUUCUCGUUGAUCCGGUCCCCGAAGUCCCCGAGGAGGCACUCGAGCUCGGCAUGCUCGCGAGCGACCCAGUGCAAGGGGCCAUCUGAGGCGGAAGCGGUGGCCCGGGAUUCGUCUCAUCCGCAUCGGCGGCCGCGGCCAUCCAGCGCUGGCGUUGCCCGAGCACGGAGCAGGCCCCAACUCCUCACCAGCUGGAGCGGUUCGGGUGCUCCGCUUUCACCGGCGAGCUGCCCCUGCCUGCCCCCAGAUGCGCGUCGGCCCGCGGAGGGGGAGGGGUCGAAGAAGCAAGCGCUAGUAGGGGAGGAGACGGAGAGGAGGCGGAAUGAGGUUCUAGAUGGUUCUGGCGGUGCGAAUCACCGCAGGCGUCGCGCCCAUUGUCGCCUUUGCCCGCUGCGAGAACUCCCGCUCCGCGCGCCAAUGGCAGCCGGGACCAAGGGAUAUUUGAAAUUGGCAAGGAAAAGAAAACUUCAGAUGUGAACACCUCUGUUAAGUAUUAUUUUUAUUUCACUAUUACUAAUGUGUCGCCUGAUAGCUCGAUCUCUUCCAUACAUACAUACAUGGUUAUUUCAGUCAUGUGAUGUAUUUGUCUCGUAAAGUCAGUGCCCGUCAAUACUUUCUUUCGCUAGUCAAGUUUUCAUCUGAUAGAUCUGAUAGAUAGAUGGAAACAUAAGUUUUCAUUCAUAAAUAGUAAGUAAUUUGUCUCUGAAUUUUGACAGUGCAGACUACUUCUUUUCAUACGUAUGCAGCUUUACCUCGCCUCAUAAUUUGAGUUUAUUUGUUUGACUGAUGCUAUUUGUAAAAUUCUAAUUGCGCUUACGGAUAAUGCCCCCUGAUUUUGCUUUCUGCCUAGACUAACUCUGUCUACAACCUCUUGCAUGUAUUUUUCCCCCAUGUUUAUCUAAAAUGGUUUUUGGCCCUUUAUUUUUAAAUAACCAAACAACUUUCUUAUACUUAUAAAUAGUACUGGAGCUCAUGGCCUUGCUUAAGAAAAACCAUCUAUAAUUGCUAAGUUUAUAAUAAUAGGUGAGCUACUGUGUCUCGGGCAUACAAUGCAAACUUGCAGACCAUAAGCUAGAUACGCAAUGAUUUUUUUCUUACUAUUACCAUGUUUUUUCAAUUUAUCAAGCUCCAGCCCAAAUAUCUGAUAGUAUUUGGCCUACAGUUAGUGUACUAAUUAAUUGGAUAUUUGAGUAGUAUUGUCAACAGUAAUAACUUUUACAUGUUUGCAUUACUUCCAAGAGUAACAGCAGGCGUUUAGGACACCUUUAGGAGAUCUACUAAUCUCUAAUCAUGCUACUCAAGGAUAGGAACCGUAGGCUUCUCUAUACAUUUUUUCACUGUCCUUUAUUGGUGGUUCUAUGAUGUAGUCCAAAUGAAACCAAUUGCAUGUAUUGAGAAAUAGAGUAUAGCUAGAUAAAGGUAAAACAGAACUUGACGUGGUUUUCCACUGACCUGAACAAUAAAAUAGACCACAUAUCUGGGAAGCAGAUUAAUAUGGGACAGCUUAUUAAGGGGCCCGAGCUUGUAUAGUAGUAUACGGGGCUGUAUUAGUGAUAGUAGAAAUGAUUUCCUCUAAUUUAGCAUUUGUACCAAGGCCGCCAGUAUUUUCACUGCAUUUCAGAAAUACAAACUACAAAUUUUGCAAUGGUGCCAAAAAUAAUUAUUUCAUGAGCUGCUUCCUAUUUUACCCAAUAUGAAAACAUAAGCUACAUGUUGCAACAUGAUGGAGAAGAGGCAACACAGGAACCUGUUUACCAUUUUUUUUGCCAAGGUCUUGUCUGUAAAUGGAGACAUCUAUAUUUGUUUCUGAAUGAUAUGCUUUAAUCACAUGCCUUCUUCUCUUCCUUAGGAAAAUCAGAGGUCUACCAAUUUAUGUAUAUAGUGGGUGGUUUUUUUGGUAACUUAACUUGAGCAACCUAAUUUUGAAACAUAAUUUGAGAGACAUAAAUACAAACACUGUUAAAAUCAAGGGCUUACCUGUGAGUUCAGAACCAGCAAUCAGUUGAUUGUUAACAGUCAAUAUGUAUGAUUAUUUUUCUAAAUGUUUUUCUUUUCCUUUCGUGUGAAGGUAUGCGAUGAUCGGCAUUCUGAGCUAAUCCCUUGUUUGGAUAGGAAUUUGAUUAUCAGAUAAGCUUGAAGAUGGAUUUAAAACUGAUGGAGCAUCAUGAGCAUCAUUGCCCUACUUAGGAGAGACGCUUUAAUUGCUUGAUUCCACCGCCACAUGGCUAUAAGCUCGCGUGCGGGUAUUCACGUGCUCCCUUGCAUUAUCACUCAAAACAACUCAUGUUGUCUGGUGCUCGGAUGUUGAAGUAGACACUGGACAUUCCCUCGCACUCGCAUCAAGCCCUACCUGAUUCCCCUCAUACGUAUGAUCAGAUUCUGUAGGAGUUGGAAGACAAAAGUACUGAUCCAACCAUGGAAGGGGUGGAAGGCUAUCCACAUCACUAUUCAACAUGCAACCAACCACCUCACUCGAGUCAUUAGCGCUUCCCUUGCAGUUGGAGGCUACAACGCUAUACUGCAUCGGUGUAGCCUCAUCCAAGCUCCUGUACAUGGCGAGAUAACUCCGCAACAUGGAGCGCCCUGUCGGAUGAAUCCCUCAUGGCACCCAUCACCGGCACGCCACCUUUGCUAUGGCCUGCGUGUCAGAUGCGUCUUUCCAACGCUGAAGCUUUGCCUCCAAUCUCUCGUAUACCCCACUGUCCAGCGUGUAUGGCUUUAUUCAUUUGCCUGUCUUCAACCAUGUCCUGCAAGGCAGACUCAUGGAUAUGGAUUUUCGGUAUUCCUGGAUGCAUGCAUGUUCACGGGGUGAUGCAGCUACCAGCAAUCCACGUCGUCCCUCUAUCGACACGCCCACUACUAGACACGGCCGCAUCUGUUUUGUGUUGUCACAUCAUCACUAGAACUUGAUGAUUGCACAAAUUGUUUGUGGGAACAAUGAAGCAUGCACCUUUAGUAUUACGGUUUUUUUACGAUGAAGCUAGGUGUUGUCGUCCUUCUUUCAAGAUCUGGUAGAAUGGUAGUAACAUAUAUAUCGUUAUGUGUCUUCUCUUCUAUGUUUUAAAUGUUUGUAAUUUGUACGAUGCAUUCAAUCGCUUUUGGCCCAAUGUGAGUUCAUUCACUCUUGCAUCUAUGCUUGGUAGAUUACGUGCAUAUUCAAUUGAUCUUUUGAAAGAAAUUUCAAUUCAUAUUUCAGUUUUUGCAGAAGGGGUCCAUAGGAAAAUAAACUAUCGCAAUCUUAUAAAAGGUCUGUCUUUUUCACAAGUUCCAUAUAUCUUUUCCAACCUCAUAUACUAUCAGUUAAGUAUUUUAGAUUAUCUUUUGGAGGAGGUGCGUCUUUUCCUUUCAGGAAAUGAUGUUGGUUCAAGACAUUCCUGCCUCCUGUUUGUUAUGUUUAUCUGUUCCAUGAUACCAAAUCAGGAAUCAACAAAUGUUUGGAUAAUCCAGAUGUUGGAAGCAAGAAUAAAGAAUUUAAAUUCACAAGAUGCAUGUGGUAUGUGUUUUCUGACCAGACAUAGAAUUGGUAUGGUAUGCUCAUUUUCUAUUUGCCUGAAUAUUUAUACACUUACUGACUUACACAUUGUAUAUGGGUAUCGGUAGAAAUCGAAUUGCAACGGUUUUAUUUUAUUUUCCUUAUAGAAAUCUAGAGAAAAAGACCAAAGAAGUAAAGUUGUUUUUUAACCUAUGUGACUGAUCAACAAACCUCUUAUAUCUCAAUGUAGGUGUAUCUAAAAUCUGACAAAAACAAUAUGGUAUAUACAACAGAUGUCAAAAAUAUAUUUUCUUAUUUGUUUACACACAAGCUCAUUCACGAAUGUCAUUCAUAGGUCUGUUCUCUGUAUUUGUUUUGCGUUUUCUCCUUACAAGUUACCACCUUCAGAGAUUUGUUGUGUGUCUAAUUUUACUAAACCUUUUUGUGCACGCGCGCACGCACGCACACACACACACAUAAGCUCUUAGUGAUUAAGUUUCUUGGGUCUCGGAGUACAAUUAAUCAGAUUAGUGUUGCAUUACCUCCCAUUUUGUGUUGUUGUGUCGGAUGCCGGUAUUGUCCUACUAAACAUAAUUUUAUGGUCAAAGUACACCUCAUUGUUUGUACCUAAUAGGUUGUCAAGAACAUAUCAUCUUUAGUACACCGUGACAAUCCUUCUUAAUAGGUUUCAAUAAUUAGCUUAUUUUGUUCAUGCAUAAAUCCCGCAGCAACGCGCGGAGUGUUAUCUAGUUGGUUACUAUAGUCCCGUCAAAAUAAUUACCAUAUGUGAAGAAUAUUUGAAAGACGGAGGGGGGGGGGGGGGGGUAUUUAAUUUGGAAGCGAGCUUAUUUGACGAUGGUUUUUUCUCCCAACCUGGCAAGGUUCAACUUGGUACUGAUUGCCAUACCUACACUGUUGGAUCCUAUGCCCAAUUUGCGACUGGAACAUAAAACAGUGAUGCAGAUUUUGUGAUAGAUCUGGAAAGGCCUUUCCCAAGGUAUGCAAACAUGUAUCAUUGUUUCAUUGGAAAUGGUAUAACAAUGGAAAUAAUAUGUGCGAACCAAUCUCUGCAACGAACAAUAGUGCAUAUAUUCACUGUUGUAUCAUAAUAGCACCCUUUCCAUUCUGGUGCGAUAAAUAUAGGUUCUUAGCAUGUUGUUACUUUCUGUCAUGGACACUUGUCUCUUUGUCAUAACGUGGAUACAGUGUGAUGCCUAUGGGAAGAAGUGGUGCUUUGAACAUGCGAUGGCUGUAUCAGGUACACUAAAUGCAGAAAAGUCUAGAAUAUUUGAACAUGCAAUGGCUGUAUGAUAUGUGUAUAAACUGAGUAUAAACUAUGUAUAAACUUCAAAUAAUACCUCAACGG